UGGAUCUGGAUUCAUUAUUCACCAUCCACUGCAUGCUGAGCAGUGAGUGCUGACGGCCUAAUCAUUUUCUCCUUCGUGCUUCAAAUUACAACAACGCUUCAUGAUGAAUAGGAUCAGGAUAAAAAUAAUGGAUAUUUCUACCAGAACUUUUGUAUUUCAGAGGAUGUUAUUCCGAAAGAGAGGUCUGUCUCAAACGUCAUCUAUCUGUCAUCGCCUCUGCUCCUCCCAAGCAAACGAAGGAGGGUCUUCUUUCAUGAGCAAUCUCCUUCUAGUCAUACCAGUAGCCGCCUUUGGUCUCGGUACGUGGCAAGUGCAGAGACGUAAAUGGAAACUAGGACUCAUCAAGGAUCUGCAAGAGAGGUCUAAUGCCCCUCCUGUACCCUUGCCUCUAGAUUCCACAGAAUUGAAUGAACUGGAGUACAAGAGGGUCAGUGUGCGAGGAUCGUUUGACCAUAGUAGAGAGAUGUACAUUCUUCCAAGGAGUCUAUUGAAAGCAGACGAGGGCGGUCAUUCUGGUAGUCUGAUGGGCAGCGGAGAUACUGGUGUCCACGUCGUCACCCCAUUCCACUGCUCAGACCUAGGUGUUGAUAUUCUUGUGAACAGAGGCUGGGUUACAAGGAAAAACCAGGAUCCACAGAAAAGACUUGCUGGGCAGCAAACCGGUGAAGUUGACUUGGUGGGUUGUGUUAGAUUGACAGAAAAGAGGGCGCAAUUCAUGCCUAACAACGAUGAAGUGAAGAACAGAUGGCACUAUCGUGAUCUUGAAGCCAUGUCGAGAGUUGCCAAUACGCUACCUAUAAUGAUCGAUGCUGAUUCAGCUAGCACAGUGCCUGGUGGACCUAUAGGAGGACAGACAAGAAUCAGUCUUAGGAACGAACACAUGCAGUAUAUAUUUACAUGGUAUAGUUUGUCCCUCUUCACGAGUCUGAUGUGGUACUAUGGUGUCUACAAAAAGCGAAUUGUUGCACCGAGGAUCUAGAUUCAACAUUGAAGGGCUUGCGUCAGCUUGUGAUGAUGAAGGAAGUUCUCUUGGGUGACCAUAUAAACUGCAUUGCUGCUCUCAAAAUUCCCCUUGUACAAACGCUGGUACUGAGGCAGUUUUUCAACAAAUAGCUGUACUCCUGAGGGCUUAUUUUGAGGGCUGCAACAUGAAAUCGAUUUGCUGAGAUUGCAGAUUUGCACAACUGUACAUGUCUCGAUUGAUGCUGUCUAGGAAUUCUUUACAAACUCAUGGUCGCGUAGAACCGAAGGGUCCAAGUAUCCGAUCCAAUCAAGUAUCGAGCUGACUGCACACUCCUGAGAGUCAAUAUUGCUACUAUUUAUGCAAUUUUCCGGAAAGGCAUGAAAAAGUUAAUUAUUCAGGAUUUAUUUUCUCUCAACUGUGAAUCAUCCGUGGAGAAAACUAUCCUACUGUCCACAAAUUGUUUUUGGUAAAAUCUGGACCCAUUUGCUGGAUACCAAGUUGUCAUGGAAACUGUAAUUUUUAUCCUUUGUAAAUCAUGGAAUGUGUGUGUGGAUGAGACCCAUUAAACAAUCACACAUUCUCGGACCACUGAAAAGUUUUUUUUUUAUGUAGAUUGUUUUCAAUAUCAUCAUUAGUUCAAAUUCUUUAGUUUCUACUAUUUGACUGUAACAGUUAUGAGUAGAAUUCUUCACCGAGACUUAUUGAAAAUUCAAAAUUCUAAUGAAUGCAUAUUGUAUCAGUUCAUAUGUUUGUACUCUAAAUGUAUAUCGUCUCAUGGAGUGGAAAUUGUGCACUUUUCGUGCGGGAUUGAAAUAAAUCCAAUGACCAGGGUAAUAAUAUGCUGUAACGCGCUUUGAGCCAUUCUGGGAAAAGCGCUAUAUAAAAAUUGGCUAUUAUUAUUAUUAUUUUAUUUGGUGAAAGUCAUCAAAGUGACGAUAGAGGAUAAAUUGUUCUUAGAAGAUUGUAUGGUCAUUCCUCUUCCCUGCUGUUAUUCCGGACUUUUCGCAUUUACUACGGGGAAACCUCUACAACGCACCAAUUCCUAUGGAAAUAAAAGUCAAAUCACAAUGGAGAGCCAAGAGGCUUUUGUCGAAAGUUGGUGGACCAGGACAGCAUCGGAAUCUCGACUCUGGACGACAUAUUUGCAAAUCUUCGUAUGAUCUGCUGUCCCAGUCCACCCACUUUAGACAAAAGCCUCUCAGCUCUCCAUUGUGACUUUAAUUGCAUUUUCAAAGGAAUCAGUGCGUUUUCUCGAGUUUCCCUGUAGUAAAUGCGAAAACUAUUAAUCACAAUAACCAACAUGAUUCGAAUAAAUGUUGAUUUGGAAGAACUAGGGGUGUUGCAUCACGUGUAUUUGUAAUCAAACGCAAAUUUCCAAUUUUUAAUUGAUUGAUGCUCCGUUGCAUGUAAGCUGCUAAAUUAUAAAGGUCAUUUUGCCUCCGACGAAGAUUCUGCCAGGAUCGAAAGCUUAGGCCCCUUUUGACUCUCUAAUUUACUCCAUUGGCUCUUUUAUUAGAUAAGCAGUUUUCGGCAGCUUUUUUCUGCCAAAUUAUAAAGGUCUAUUUUUGAUGUCAUUGUCCCACAAAAUCACAUCAGAGCCCUGUGGUGCAAAGCAUCGCAGAAGUACAUUCUCUUUGAAGGUGGCCAAUAUUUUGAGCUCCAAAGAGACUUUACUUUUAUGUACAUGUAUCUAUCCUUUCUUUCAAGAUUAUCUUUCUUGCAAGAUUGAGUAAAUGUGGUUUGCAGGGACUAGAAAAAGGAUUAAGUACAUGGCUAUCAUAGUUGCUAUGAUAGCAACUCUUGCUGGAAUGUCAACUUUCAUUGGAAGAGCCAAUCAGGAAGUAGGGUAUUCACUGUUGUCAUGGUAGUUGACAUUCCAGCAAGACUCGCUAUCAUAUAAACUGUUUAUGAAAUGGGGCCCAGGGCCCCAUUUCAACUACCAUGACAACAGUGAAUACCCUACUUCCUGAUUGGCUCUUCCAACGAAAAUUGACAUUCCAGCAAGAGUUGCUAUCAUAGCAACUUUUUAUUAAAUGGGGCCCAUGUACUUAAUCCUUUUUCUAGUCCCUGCAGGGCCCCAGUUUAUAAAAAGUAAAAUGAUAUUCACUAUUCAUUUCAUGAAUAGAGAGAUGUGUGUGAUUCAUUUGUAGAAAUCAAUCAAUAGAAAAGUAAUAAUUAUAGUAAGUAAUUUGUAAAUUAUUUUCUAUGUAAAAUCUAUUAUUGUGUAAUAAAUUUUGAUGCUUCAUCUUGUAA